UACGAAGGGGGCUAGCGUUGCUCGGAAUCACUGGGCGUAAAGCGCGCGUAGGCGGACCUGCAAGUCGGGGGUGAAAGCCCGAGGCUCAACCUCGGAACUGCCUUCGAUACUGCGGGUCUCGAGUCCGGGAGAGGUGAGUGGAAUUCCUAGUGUAGAGGUGAAAUUCGUAGAUAUUUAGGAAGAACACCGUGGCGAAGGCGG
rnacentral:rRNA from 1 species